AUAAAAAUGAUCCAAAACCUCAAUGACCAACAGUGUUUAUUUGAUCAUUAGUAUAGUAAGUAUUGUCCACAGGAGCAAGAAACGUGGCUCAAUAGGAGGAGAAUUUAUAGUUAUUUAAUGUACAAAAGGAUUACAGACUGUUCAAAGCACUGAAAUGGAGAAAGACAUAUUAAGUAACAUAAAAGUGAUGAAAGUAUCCUUGUGUUGCAAACAGCAGUUUUGUGCUGAGAUCAGUAGACUGAGUUUGCAGUUCCAUUGUAUUUUCUAAUCUAUUAUUUAUUUGGGAUUCAUUUUGCACUGUUCAGUUCUUCUACCCCUUGGGCUUCCCCCAUCUAAAUUAGAUCUGUGUGACAUGUCAUCUGUUUAAAACCUCCACCACAAUAUGGAAAGAACUUUUUGUUUUCCCAUAACAGAAAUUAAAAUAAUACCAUUUAAGGAAAGUGAAAUUAUCAUCCCUUCCAGGCCUCUUCAUAACUAUAUAAGAAAAUUGACCUUUUCAAAUCUUGGAGUUGAAUUGAUAUUUCAGAGCUGUACAAGAUUUGGACUUGAAUUCACCAUUCAGAAGGCCCCAUAUUCAGAUAGCUCAGAUAUAUACUCACUGUUCUGUUUAAAUUUAAGUCUGGGAGACAGCUGAAAUAAAUUCUUAGUUCAGCUUCCUGACUGGCUGCUAACUGGAAUGUCACCCCAGAAUUCCAUCGAUGAGUAAGGUUUUGUAGACCAUAAAAGUAAGACAAGGACGCAUUUUGUUUGCUCUAGGAGGUCUGAAGUGUUCAUUUAUUACAUUUUUACUUAGGGCUUAAAGAAAUUUGAUUACUGUUUUCAUGGAUCCUGUCUUGAUAUUUUACAUAGUGGGAGGAAAGGCACACCCAAGAUUGUCCUAUGGAAAACACUAAGGAACAAUGGACCAGGAAAAAAGAAGUUAAUUCCUAAUACCCCUACAGGAAGCAGUACUUUUUUAAAGGUUACAGACCUGGUAGGGGUGAUGUUUCCAUCACCAUCAUGAUUUGAAUAUUUCCAGUUUCCUCCUUCUGUAAUAUGUAAAGUGGGAAACAAUUGCAGCUAUUGAGGAUGAGCUAAUGUUCAUACUGAUGAGCAUGUCAUUAAAUUUUCAAAAGAUAUGCCUAGGACUCCAUUUUAGAAGGCUGAAACAGUUAUGAGAGAGGAUCCAUGCUGACAUUUGUAAGAAAUCUCCUUUUACUUAUGAUGUUGAAUGCUCAACACGGGUACUGACCUUAUAGAAAAGACCAGAUGAUGAGUCCCUCCAAUCUGAGCACUUAGAGCUCCCUAUGCAUGCUCUUGUUUGCUCUCUGCCUCUCUCACAUUUGUUCUUUCUCUCUGAGCAGGACAGGGGAUACACAUGGUUGGUUGAAAAGUAGAAAAACCUCCCAUAAUGACAGGUGAUGCUGCUGGAAUUUCUAAUACCCUGUUAGGUUUCCCUUGUGCUUUUGCAUUUAUCUCAGUCUGUAGGACUGUGUUUGCUUGCAUGGUGCAUCCCAAAGAGCUGUGCCAAGGGGUGUCCCCAGACCUGCAGCAUGGUUCAGGCUGACAUCUCCUCUCCAGGAACAUGCCACCUGAUUAGGCUGCUACAUCACCUUGAGGCUUUGAACUCUUCAAAUCUUCUAAACCAAGCAGCCCUGCCAGCAGGGAGAAUCCAGUCCAGUUAAGCCAUAACAGGAAAAAAACCCCACCUUCCCUGCUAGAGGCCUUACAUCUCUCUUCUGGAGGCAUUACAAAAUAAGUUCUCUCUGGAAACCAUUCCACUUUACAAGGGUUUUGAAUAAUUAUAUUCUGAGAACUUCAUCAGAGGCAGCAAAAUAAUUUGUAAAUCUGAGGAGCCUUGUGUACUCUCUGUUACCUUGAGGCCAUAGUACUUCAGUUCACAUUUUCUGAAGCUUUUCUGCUGGCAAAAGAGGAAAGGCCCAGCUUUGAUCAGAUGGAUGGAGACAUUCUCCCUAAGGACACCUCACAGCUCAGAUGUGGCAGGCUUUUGAAGGUUGUGUAGAUUUAACUCCCCCCAGUGCCUACCCUCUGUGUCUCCCCAGGUCUCAGGUUAUAGCAUAACUCUUCAGAAAUCAGCUGUUUGGGACCAAGUGUAUAUGGUACAAGACCAGAAAUGUUGUUCGUUGAUAGCAUUUGGGCAUCUUUCCCAAGUCUGCCUGACAACAUCAAUGGCGAGCUGUUGAGCUGCAGUGACCCCCUAAGCAAGCUGUCCUCUGCUGUUUUGGCUGCACCUACUAUUACUCAAGCAGUGGGAGCCAAACAAACGCGACACUUGGAUCUUUCUUACUUGUUCUGCAAAGCAACCCCGCCAAGCCCCGAGUACGGACACGCCGCGUGAGGAAUCGACAAUUCCCCACGAUCGCACAGCGGGACACGAGCACUGGCAGCAGAGCUGAGAAGUUAACUCUGGGGUAUACAGGGCUGACAAAUGCAGAGACAUAUUGAUCCUCAGCAGUCUGCCUCAUCAGUAAGACACUGUGCAUGCUGACACCCAGCCCAGCAGCACAGGACACAGGGAACACUUGACCAGGGAGUGGUGCACAGCAUCCAUCCAUCAGCAGGGCUGGACCCAGGUUUGCAGGGACAGGCAAUGAGGUCUGAGAUCAAUGAGGUGCACAUAGGAAAAAUCCACAAGAUCUUUUACAGGUAAAUGGCUAUUUUGUUUUUCCAGAUGAGUAGCAACAAAAUAUUAGCAUUGUUUUGUUUUUUCUUGUUGAUUAAUAACUUGUGAUGUUCUUGGUUUACUCAGUGUUGCUCUUUGAAGCUGCUGCCUGCCCAUAGACAUCAAAUACUUACAUAUUGAAUUCUGUGUGACUGCACAUACACGUGCACAGAGAGUGCACCAUAAAAUCUUUUCUUAUGAGCCCCAGAAACUAAGAAGCAUUAAAUCUGUCACUUAUUCAGACCUCUUCCCAAGAGCUCCUGCCCCAUGAGCACCAAGCACCUGCCUUCUACUGCCUGAGAAAUCCAACCUGCCGUCCCUCCUGCUAGAAAUAUUGUGUGAUGUACAAAGCAGAUUUCUCACCAAAGAAAAUAUUAAUAUUGUUAUUAUUAAUAAUACUUAAUAAUUAGUAAUAAAAAUUAUAAGCUGCAGUGGUAAACUCUGACAAUAAAAAUUUUCUCUGCAGAGUAGUGCAACAACCACUUUUGUCCUUCUGAGAGGCUCUGGACACUCACAUUCACACCCCUCAUUUGCCCUUGUUUCACAUAGAAGUGUGUCUUUGUAAUCCGUAAAUUGCUAUUUUGUCCAGCUGUGACCACCACCACAUGCUUGCUAAGUAGUGUG